GGUUAAGCGACUAAGCGUACACGGUGGAUGCCCUGGCAGUCAGAGGCGAUGAAGGACGUGCUAAUCUGCGAAAAGCGUCGGUAAGGUGAUAUGAACCGUUAUAACCGGCGAUGUCCGAAUGGGGAAACCCAGUGCAAUUCGUUGCACUAUCGUUAACUGAAUACAUAGGUUAACGAGGCGAACCGGGGGAACUGAAACAUCUAAGUACCCCGAGGAAAAGAAAUCAACCGAGAUUCCCCCAGUAGCGGCGAGCGAACGGGGAGCAGCCCAGAGUCUGAAUCAGCUUGUGUGUUAGUGGAACGGUCUGGAAAGUCCGACGGUACAGGGUGAUAGUCCCGUACACCAAAAUGCACAGGCUGUGAACUCGAAGAGUAGGGCGGGACACGUGGUAUCCUGUCUGAAUAUGGGGGGACCAUCCUCCAAGGCUAAAUACUCCUGACUGACCGAUAGUGAACCAGUACCGUGAGGGAAAGGCGAAAAGAACCCCGGCGAGGGGAGUGAAAAAGAACCUGAAACCGUGUACGUACAAGCAGUGGGAGCACCUUCGGGUGUGACUGCGUACCUUUUGUAUAAUGGGUCAGCGACUUAUAUUCUGUAGCAAGGUUAACCGUAUAGGGGAGCCGCAGGGAAACCGAGUCUUAACUGGGCGUUAAGUUGCAGGGUAUAGACCCGAAACCCGGUGAUCUAGCCAUGGGCAGGUUGAAGGUUGGGUAACACUAACUGGAGGACCGAACCGACUAAUGUUGAAAAAUUAGCGGAUGACUUGUGGCUGGGGGUGAAAGGCCAAUCAAACCGGGAGAUAGCUGGUUCUCCCCGAAAGCUAUUUAGGUAGCGCCUCGUGAACUCAUCUUCGGGGGUAGAGCACUGUUUCGGCUAGGGGGUCAUCCCGACUUACCAACCCGAUGCAAACUACGAAUACCGAAGAAUGUUAUCACGGGAGACACACGGCGGGUGCUAACGUCCGUCGUGAAGAGGGAAACAACCCAGACCGCCAGCUAAGGUCCCAAAGUCAUGGUUAAGUGGGAAACGAUGUGGGAAGGCACAGACAGCCAGGAUGUUGGCUUAGAAGCAGCCAUCAUUUAAAGAAAGCGUAAUAGCUCACUGGUCGAGUCGGCCUGCGCGGAAGAUGUAACGGGGCUAAACCAUGCACCGAAGCUGCGGCAGCGACACUAUGUGUUGUUGGGUAGGGGAGCGUUCUGUAAGCCUGCGAAGGUGUGCUGUGAGGCAUGCUGGAGGUAUCAGAAGUGCGAAUGCUGACAUAAGUAACGAUAAAGCGGGUGAAAAGCCCGCUCGCCGGAAGACCAAGGGUUCCUGUCCAACGUUAAUCGGGGCAGGGUGAGUCGACCCCUAAGGCGAGGCCGAAAGGCGUAGUCGAUGGGAAACAGGUUAAUAUUCCUGUACUUGGUGUUACUGCGAAGGGGGGACGGAGAAGGCUAUGUUAGCCGGGCGACGGUUGUCCCGGUUUAAGCAUGUAGGCUGGUUGUCCAGGCAAAUCCGGAUAAUCAAGGCUGAGGUGUGAUGACGAGGUACUACGGUGCUGAAGUAACAAAUGCCCUGCUUCCAGGAAAAGCCUCUAAGCAUCAGGUAACAUCAAAUCGUACCCCAAACCGACACAGGUGGUCAGGUAGAGAAUACCAAGGCGCUUGAGAGAACUCGGGUGAAGGAACUAGGCAAAAUGGUGCCGUAACUUCGGGAGAAGGCACGCUGGUGUGUAGGUGAAGUCCCUGCGGAUGGAGCUGAGACCAGUCGAAGAUACCAGCUGGCUGCAACUGUUUAUUAAAAACACAGCACUGUGCAAACACGAAAGUGGACGUAUACGGUGUGACGCCUGCCCGGUGCCGGAAGGUUAAUUGAUGGGGUUAUCCGUAAGGAGAAGCUCUUGAUCGAAGCCCCGGUAAACGGCGGCCGUAACUAUAACGGUCCUAAGGUAGCGAAAUUCCUUGUCGGGUAAGUUCCGACCUGCACGAAUGGCGUAAUGAUGGCCAGGCUGUCUCCACCCGAGACUCAGUGAAAUUGAACUCGCUGUGAAGAUGCAGUGUACCCGCGGCAAGACGGAAAGACCCCGUGAACCUUUACUAUAGCUUGACACUGAACAUUGAGCCUUGAUGUGUAGGAUAGGUGGGAGGCUUUGAAGCGUGGACGCCAGUCUGCGUGGAGCCAACCUUGAAAUACCACCCUUUAAUGUUUGAUGUUCUAACGUUGGCCCCUUACCGGGGUUGCGGACAGUGUCUGGUGGGUAGUUUGACUGGGGCGGUCUCCUCCCAAAGCGUAACGGAGGAGCACGAAGGUUAGCUAAUCCUGGUCGGACAUCAGGAGGUUAGUGCAAUGGCAUAAGCUAGCUUGACUGCGAGCGUGACGGCGCGAGCAGGUGCGAAAGCAGGUCAUAGUGAUCCGGUGGUUCUGAAUGGAAGGGCCAUCGCUCAACGGAUAAAAGGUACUCCGGGGAUAACAGGCUGAUACCGCCCAAGAGUUCAUAUCGACGGCGGUGUUUGGCACCUCGAUGUCGGCUCAUCACAUCCUGGGGCUGAAGUAGGUCCCAAGGGUAUGGCUGUUCGCCAUUUAAAGUGGUACGCGAGCUGGGUUUAGAACGUCGUGAGACAGUUCGGUCCCUAUCUGCCGUGGGCGCUGGAGAAUUGAGGGGGGCUGCUCCUAGUACGAGAGGACCGGAGUGGACGCAUCACUGGUGUUCGGGUUGUCAUGCCAAUGGCACUGCCCGGUAGCUAAAUGCGGAAGAGAUAAGUGCUGAAAGCAUCUAAGCACGAAACUUGCCCCGAGAUGAGUUCUCCCUGAGACUUUAAGUCUCCUGAAGGAACGUUGAAGACGACGACGUUGAUAGGCCGGGUGUGUAAGCGCAGCGAUGCGUUGAGCUAACCGGUACUAAUGAACCGUGAGGCUUAACCUU
rnacentral:rRNA from 1 species